rnacentral:rRNA from 1 species
AUUGAACGCUGGCGGCAGGCCUAACACAUGCAAGUCGAACGAGUGGCGGACGGGUGAGUUAUGUCUGGGAAACUGCCCGAUGGAGGGGGCUAACUAUUGGAAACGGUAGCUAAUACCGCAUACCAUCGGAUGUGCCCAGAUGGGAGUAGCUAGUAGGUGGGGUAACGGCUCACCUAGGCGACGAUCCCUCGCUGGUCUGAGAGGAUGACCAGCAACACUGUAACUGAGACACGGACCAGACUCCUACGUGAGGCAGCAGUGGGGAAUAUUGCGCAAUGGGCGCAAGCGUGAUGCAGCCAUGCCGCGUGUAUGAAGAAGGCCUUCGGGUUGUAAAGUACGUUCAGCGAGGAGGCGUUACUCGCAGAAGAAGCACCGGCUAACUCCGUGCCAGCAGCCGCGGUAAUAC